rnacentral:rRNA from 1 species
AUUGAACGCUGGCGGCAGGCCUAACACAUGCAAGUCGAACGAGUGGCGGACGGGUGAGUAAUGUCUGGUAAACUGCCUGAUGGAGGGGGAUAACUACUGGAAACGGUAGCUAAUACCGCAUACCAUCAGAUGUGCCCAGAUGGGAUUAGCUAGUUGGUGGGGUAACGGCUCACCAAGGCGACGAUCCCUAGCGGGUCGGAGAGGAUGACCAGCCAAACGGGAAUGGAGAAACGGGCAAGCCUCCGACGGGAGGCAGCAGUGGGGAAUAUUGGACAAUGGGCGCAAGCUGGAGGCAGCCAUGCCGCGGGUAUGAAGAAGGCCUUCGGGUUGUAAAGUACGUUCAGCGGGGAGGCGGUACCCGCAGAAGAAGCACCGGCUAACUCCGUGCCAGCAGCCGCGGUAAUAC